AGUGAACGCUGGCGGUAGGCCUAACACAUGCAAGUCGAACGGCAGCACAGUAAGAGCUUGCUCUUACGGGUGGCGAGUGGCGGACGGGUGAGGAAUACAUCGGAAUCUACUUUUUCGUGGGGGAUAACGUAGGGAAACUUACGCUAAUACCGCAUACGAUCUACGGGUGAAAGUAGGGGAUCUUCGGACCUUGCGCGAUUGAAUGAGCCGAUGUCGGAUUAGCUAGUUGGCGGGGUAAAGGCCCACCAAGGCGACGAUCCGUAGCUGGUCUGAGAGGAUGAUCAGCCACACUGGAACUGAGACACGGUCCAGACUCCUACGGGAGGCAGCAGUGGGGAAUAUUGGACAAUGGGCGCAAGCCUGAUCCAGCCAUGCCGCGUGAGUGAAGAAGGCCUUCGGGUUGUAAAGCCCUUUUGUUGGGAAAGAAAAGCUGCGGGUUAAUACCCCGCUGUUCUGACGGUACCCAAAGAAUAAGCACCGGCUAACUUCGUG
rnacentral:rRNA from 1 species